GACGAACGCUGGCGGCGUGCUUAACACAUGCAAGUCGAACGGAAAGGCCCUGCUUUUGUGGGGUGCUCGAGUGGCGAACGGGGGAGUAACACGUGAGUAACCUGCCCUUGACUUUGGGAUAACUUCAGGAAACUGGGGCUAAUACCGGAUAGGAGCUCCUGCUGCAUGGGGGGGGGUGGAAAGUUUCGGCGGGUGGGGAUGGACGCGCGGCUUAUCAGCUUGUUGGUGGGGUAGUGGCUUACCAAGGCUUUGACGGGUAGCCGGCCUGAGAGGGUGACCGGCGACAUUGGGACUGAGAUACGGCCCAGACUCCAACGGGAGGCAGCAGUGGGGAGUAUUGCACAAUGGGCGGAAGCCUGAUGCAGCAACGCCGCGUGCGGGAUGCCGGCCUUCGGGGUGUAAACCGCUUUCGCCUGUGACGAAGCGUGAGUGACGGUAAUGGGUAAAGAAGCACCGGCUAACUACGUG
rnacentral:rRNA from 1 species